rnacentral:lncRNA from 10 species
CCACGUUCCUGCCCGUUGCACAGUCUUGGGUCACUGACAGCGGGGCCGCCUCCACCACCAUCAAACAGAGCUUCUCGGCGGCCAGGCUCAGCGAUGGACAGCUCUUGGGCCAGGUCAUUGAACCGAGAAAUGUAAUCAAUGCUGUUUUCGUUCAUCAUGCACACCAGCUGGGAAUCCACAACCUGCAGGAAGAGGAGACAGGAAGAACAAGUCACCGCGACCUGCUGGCCCUUCAGUGGAGGGCGGGUCCUGAAACAGGACGAGAAGCUCCUAUCGACUCCCGCUGCAGGAAGCUAAGCUAGGGAUGGCAGCCCAGGGCUCUGUGCAGAAUCACAAUCACCUGUCGUCUGCCCGCACACUCUUUAGAUAAGUGCUCGCAGAGAGCCUAUGAUGUGCCUGGCACAUCUGAUGGCUGGGGUGAGGGUGCUGGUCCCCCCGCCCGCCAUGAGACCUAUGGGGGAAGACACCCAACAGGUAGACAGACUGUAUGCAGCAGACACAGGCACUGGGGGCAGCCUGCAGAAACAGAUGCAGAGUGAGGGGACAGAGAGUGCCGGGAAAAGGAGGCCAGAGAGGGUGCUCCAAGGACUGGGACCUGAGCGGGAGGUGGGGUAAAACCCGAGGAUACGUGGGGGACACGUUUCCAUCAUAGACAUGAGGACAGGUGGGGGACACAUUCCCAUCAUAGACAUGAGGACAGGUGGGGGACACGUUCCCGUCACAGACAUGAGGACAGGUGGGGGACACGUUCCUGUCAUAGACAUGAGGACAGGUGGGGGACACGUUCCCGUCAAGAGACAUGAGGACAGGUGGGGGGCACGUUCCCAUCACAGACAUGAGGACAGGUGGGGGACACGUUCCCAUCAUAGACAUGAGGACAGGUGGGGGACACGUUCCCGUCAUAGACAUGAGGACAGCUGGGGGCACGUUCCCAUCAGAGACAUGAGGAGAGCUGGGGGCACGUUCCCGUCAGAGAAAUGAGGACAGGUGGAGGGCACGAUCCCGUCAGAAUCCCAAGGACAUGUGGUGAGGGCACGUUCCCAUCAGUCCUGAGGACAUGUGGGGAGCACGUUCCCGUCAGAGACAUGAGGACACAUGGGGAGUACGUUCCUUUUUAAAGAAGCAACAGGCAUGUUCCCUGAGACAGGAAGAGGCUUUGACUGAAAAGCACGACCAAGGUGGUGGCCAUGACAGAGUGAGUGAGGCAGCACAGAGCUGAGGAGACGGAGGACGGGAGGGCCUCGGCACCGGGAUCUUGUCCCAUGAGCAAAUACGUAGAAUGUGCCGUUUUCAGCGCUUAUUGUCUGCGUCCUGCUCUAGAGUAGAAGCCUCAUGAGGACAGGGGCCAUUGUUUGCACACAGCAGACCCUGCAGAAAUAUCCCUUAAUGAACUGCAUGACACUGUGAAUGCAAGAAGUCUGGAAAAUUCUGAAUAGAGCUAUGGCGUAAAUGAAAUUUUAUGCUUUGAUUAUGGGAAAUGUCAGACAAAUUAAAAUUUGUUUUCAAAAGCAGAGCAAAGAGUAAUUCUCCUUCCCCUGUAUGUCCAUCAGCAGCUCCCACCCGUUUCAUCCCAGGGCCACCCAGCUCCACCCCCGCCCCCUUCAUGCUAGCCCUACCACCAGACCCUUUCAUCCACAAAUGCCUCAGCCCAUCCUUCCAGAUGACGAGGACCUGCUGAGAAACAUACUCACGUUCUGAGUGGAGGGCUCUCGGGAAAAUCUCAUGCUAAACGCUGAUCUGCUCUUUCUGAAGGUGAACACGUUUGCAUUACUCGCGACGGGCAGCGUUUCACAAAUACUAACUGCACCCUUUCUCUGCUACUCACUCCCAAGUGCCAUCUGUUGCCCAGGAUUUUAUUAAAGGUGCAAAUUCUGAUUGGGGUGAGGCUAACACUCUGGAUUUCUGACUCCAAGGGGCUCCUGUCACUGGGCUGUGGCCCGUCCUUUCAACAGCAUGGCGUGAGCAUGCUGCCUCAGGGCACGUACGCAGCGCCCAUCUCCACAGAGCCCAGCACUUAGGAACAUGCGCACAAACAGGGGAAGAGACAGAGACUGGCUUCUCGGGAAACAUCAGAGUCCAAGGUGUGCCCUGAAUAAUGAUUCUGGGGCCAAACAGGUUUGAGAAACGCCACACACUGUGAGAUGGAGGUCUACGCUAUUAAUUGUGUCUAUGUGUAUAUUUGGCUAAAAUUUCCAGUCAUAUCAUGGCUUGGCUUGGAAUUCUCCAAAGCCUGCCCAUGAGUUCAUCAUCUCAAGAGUCACGAUUCACAUUCGGAUACUGGGUAGCGGAGGUGUCCGUGAGAAACAGCUGUUUUGAGCUUUUUUGGAUCCAGGGUGUCCCUCAAGUAUCUACCCACAAAAUCCUCAAGGAACACCUGCCAAUGUCUCAACAUUGUGGGGACUAGAUUCGGGGAAUGCUGCUCCAGGACUUUCACAUGGGCUAAGCCCAUGCGGAUGAUCUCCUGGACCUGGAGUUCCCUCCCUGUCCAUAGAGCCCUCACCCGACUGCCCACACACCUGCCACUCUGCACUUUACGUCACAGUGAAACGGGCCUGUCUUCACCCUGCAAGCCUGACCUGCCCACGAAUGCCACACAAACCAUGUGGUGGACGCCUUGAGGGCUACAACCAGAUGGCCUGGCCAACAAAGAGGGACGCUGCAUCUCGUCAAAAGUGGAGAGUCACAAACCACGUUUCGCCUUCCCCUCAAGAACCUGCCCCAGUGACUCCUCCUAUCACUACCCUGGGCGUGGGAGAAGCAUGAGGACAGCAGAGCCCAUCCCAGUUCCCCUGCACCGCAGCUCAACAUGACAGGGAGAUGCCACUCAAAGGUCCUGCUGUUAGGAUGGGAGCACUGACAACACAACUGCUGCCACCACCCCUUACUCCUCCCUCCACAACACUCCCCGCACCUCAGCACCUCACAGCCAGGGAAGGAGAGGUAACAUCCCCACUCGGCUCUGGCUGCCUUCAGAGACCCUGCUCUGCGCCCCAGACCAGGGUUUCCAGUUCAGAGGCCUGCAGAGCUCAGCUAUGACUAAGUCUGUCAUUCUGCAUGUGGGGACGAGAGCCGGCCCAGCGUCCCCAGAUCUCUCCAUUCUCAGUAGUCAGGGACCUGAGUGUGGACGUGCUGUCUCCUGUUCUUCUACUCUUGGCAAACAGCUCUUACUAACCCACAGGUGUGCAGGAGAGUGCUGGCAACCUCUGGCACGAGGGUUGGUGGUCAGGUGCAGCUGUGAGGUCAAUGCACUCACCUCUGCAACGUCAGCCAGGGACCUGGACACAAAUGAGUCCCGCGAGUUUCCAUCCAACAAGCUGGGGCCAAGCAAGGAAGUGCCAC